AAGUUGCAGGGUAUAGACCCGAAACCCGGUGAUCUAGCCAUGGGCAGGUUGAAGGUUGGGUAACACUAACUGGAGGACCGAACCGACUAAUGUUGAAAAAUUAGCGGAUGACCUGUGGCUGGGGGUGAAAGGCCAAUCAAACCGGGAGAUAGCUGGUUCUCCCCGAAAGCUAUUUAGGUAGCGCCUCGUGAAUUCAUCUCCGGGGGUAGAGCACUGUUUCGGCUAGGGGGCCAUCCCGGCUUACCAACCCGAUGCAAACUGCGAAUACCGGAGAAUGUUAUCACGGGAGACACACGGCGGGUGCUAACGUCCGUCGUGAAGAGGGAAACAACCCAGACCGCCAGCUAAGGUCCCAAAGUCAUGGUUAAGUGGGAAACGAUGUGGGAAGGCCCAGACAGCCAGGAUGUUGGCUUAGAAGCAGCCAUCAUUUAAAGAAAGCGUAAUAGCUCACUGGUCGAGUCGGCCUGCGCGGAAGAUGUAACGGGGCUAAACCAUGCACCGAAGCUGCGGCAGCGACACUGUGUGUUGUUGGGUAGGGGAGCGUUCUGUAAGCCUGUGAAGGUGUGUCGUGAGGC
rnacentral:rRNA from 1 species